rnacentral:rRNA from 1 species
UACGUAGGGUGCAAGCGUUGUUCGGAAUUACUGGGCGUAAAGGGUCCGUAGGUGGCUUGCUAAGUCAGACGUGAAAUCCCUCGGCUUAACCGGGGAACUGCGUCUGAGACUGGCGAGCUUGAGUGCAGGAGAGGAACGCGGAAUUCCAGGUGUAGCAGUGAAAUGCGUAGAUAUCAGGAGGAACACCGAUGGCGAAGGCAGGUCUCUGGGCUGACACUGACGCUCAUGCACGAAAGCGUGGGGAGCAAACAGG